UACGUAGGGUGCAAGCGUUAAUCAGAAUUACUGGGCGUAAAGCGUGCGCAGGCGGUUAUGUAAGACAGAUGUGAAAUGCCCGGGCUUAACCUGGGAACUGCAUUUGUGACUGCAUGGCUAGAGUUUGGCAGAGGGGGGUAGAAUUCCACGUGUAGCAGUGAAAUGCGUAGAUAUGUGGAGGAACACCGAUGGCGAAGGCAGCCCCCUGGGUCAAGACUGACGCUCAUGCACGAAAGCGUGGGGAGCAAACAGG
rnacentral:rRNA from 1 species